UAUGUACUCUCUCCGUCCGGAAAUACUUGUCAUCAAAAUGGAUAAAAGGGGAUGUAUCUAGACGUAUUUUAGUUCUAGAUACAUCUCUUUUUAUACAUUUUGAUGACAAGUAUUUUCGGACGGAGGGAGUAGUAA
rnacentral:pre_miRNA from 1 species